rnacentral:piRNA from 4 species
AGAUUUCCGUGGAGAGGAACAAUUCU